rfam:Felis catus isolate Cinnamon breed Abyssinian chromosome B2, whole genome shotgun sequence.
GCCUGACUGGCUCAGUUGGUGGAGCCUGUGACUCUUGAUUUCGGGGUUGUGAGUUCAAGCCCCAUGUUGGGUG